UUCCCCUGCCCCGAGGCGUCGCUGACCCAACCUCCCGCAUGCCACCUGACUUCCUUCCCCUGCUGCCCCUUGCUCCGGUGGGCCUCCCACCGCUACCAACCGGCGUCGGAACCGUCCCUCGCCUUGGAUCGCACCGCCGCCACUGCCCACGAUGGGGAUCGCGCCACAGGCACCGUCCCACGAUGGGGAUCGAGCCGCAGGCACCGUCCCACGAUGGGGAUCACGCCACUGCAACCGCAUCGCCCCACCUCCCGUCGUCGGGAUCCCGCUGCCGCACGACAACCACCGUGAUCCUCCCACCGUGCGACCUUCCUCCACCUACCACCGCGGUCGCUACUCACGCCGCGCGCAUGUCGUGGUGGACGGACGCGAUGGUUUCCUUCGACAUGAACGACCACAAAGAGUGGCUUGUCGGAUGCUGUUGCUAUGGAUGACGAUGAUCUCGUUCUCGAUAGGAUAAUGAAGAGACAUAGGAGAGGGGACAAGGAUCAUGUGCUCACCGUGCAACACGGCGUCACCUCUUCGCUCCGGAGCGUCGGGAUUCUUGCUAGAGAACAUUCAGUGUCGGAUUUCCUAAUGUGUAUUGUCCUUCUUUCAUUUGUGGUCCACUGUUUGCUGUUGUUGGUUUACAGGUUUGGAAGGCAGGCAUGCUGCUAACCUGACUUUAUGUUGCACAAGAGCUUCACGUCGUCUGAAUUCGACGGUGUUACUGCCAUGGAGAUCGGUGUUGGGACAGGUGAUGGCUUGUUAUGAAAUUUAGUGAAUGAGAAAAUUGUGUUGUGCUUGUA